CUGUGCCCCUAAAUAUUGCCUACAGAUGGAUCUUGGGAGGACAUCUAGAGACUGCCCAAGAUGCCUCUCCACUUUGAUAUUUAAGAACCUAGGCAAGGGAUGUGGAGACUUGCAUUUGGUUCUUCUUGGAGCGAGGAGCUAUUCACAGCACUUUGUUCUAUUUGAAUCCACCCCUUCCGCUCACCUGCGAUCCACGUCACACUAGAGGGGAGUGUACUUAAUCACUGGAGCACAGGUCAGAGGAAUUGGUCUGUUGAAGUUUCGAAAGGAAAGAAACAGCUGUCAUCGAUCAGCACGCAUUGGCGCCUAGCAUCUCUCACCUGCAGCGGCCGAACGCCGCCCGACAUGCUUGUAUGGACACUGUACAAUAAAUGAUGAAGUCACACUGUCCCUGGACAUAAGUGAAGGAGGAAGUUUAUUCUUGCGAAGAAGGGUGCCCACCUGGAUUGUUGAGGAUUUUAGUGCUGAGCAGAUUGCAGGUAGGUCAGGUUUUUAUGGUCCAUAUAAAUGACCACAGGAUGAGCACCUUCCAGUAGGUAUCUCAUUCUUCUAGAGUCAGCUUCAUUGCAAGCAGUCCCAAUGGUGUAAUUCCUCUCAGGAGAGAAAAGCUUGGAAAAGAAACCGCAAGUGACAGAUUUUCCCCUGGAGUUUUUCUGCAACAAAACUGCUCCUGCUUCAAUAAAAGAGGCAUCCUCUUCAAGGAAGAACUGCCUAGAUGUGAUCAGAGUGAUGGCGAGUGGAAUAAAGUCCUUUAACUGUAAGAAGAGAAGGAGAAAAGACAUACAGAGCGUGCUCCUAGUGUAACACUGUGAAGGCUAAAACACUGUAUUGUACUUACCAUUAUAUGUUGUUGAGCACAACAUCUCAGUGGACACAUCAAAAUACAGUUGUUCAGAUCAACAGCCAGAUGAUUCUUCCAGACUUCAGAAGCAGACCGAGGUAGAAAGCACAGUCUUAUAGAAAAAAUGGAUCUCUUGAAUGGCACUUCUCCCUUCCAUUUUCACUUGUCCAUGUUAGCAAACAUACGAGGUGUGAAGAUGUUUGCAUACUCAAUUAGAACCAAAGCAGAUAUAUAGCUAAGAGUACAAUUAUGUAAGU